rnacentral:lncRNA from 1 species
GUUUAUAGCAGUUCCCCGUCGCAUCAACAUAGAAGUCCACCACCUCCUACCCACAAAAUUUCACCUGUAACUCGUCACGCUCCACCUCCUCCACCUCCACCAAGUCCGGUAUAUUAUCACCACCCAUCACCACCACCUCCACAACCAGUAUAUUACGCGCCACCAACAUAUAAACCUCAAUCACCACCACCACCUCCACCACCAGUACAUUACGAGCCACCAACGUACACACCUCAAUCACCACCACCACCUCCACCAGUACAUUACGAGCCACCACCAUACACACCUCAAUCACCACCACCUCCACCAGUACAUUACGAACCACCAACGUACACACCUCAAUCGCCACCACCACCAGUAUAUGUGACACCGUCUUCACCACCACCACCAGUAUAUGAGCAUCCAAAACCUCCAACUCCAACUCCAUCACCACCAGCUGGGUACACACCUCCCCAGGAGCCAUCACAUCCUGCCCCACCUACCCCACCUUGUAACGAGACACCACCCCCACCACCUAGUACCCCACAUUGGCAACCAAAACCAUCUCCUCCCCCUACAUAUAACCCAUCACCAUCAUAUACCCAAAGCCCCCCGCCGCCACCUCCUACUUACACCUACUCUUC